rnacentral:lncRNA from 1 species
UACAGUUGGUGAUGCAAUGCACCCCCGAGGACGAGGAGGUGACGGGCGCUUGGCCUGCUGCUGUGCAACAAUUGAGAGGAGGCAGCGGGCAUUCGGCCUACUGCUGUGCAAUCGCCGAGAGGAGGCGACAGGUGCUCGGCCGGCUGCUGUGCAACCACCGAGAGGAGGCGGCAGGCGCUCAGCGGGCCUCCGGCUGUCUCAAAGCUAGAGACCGACCGUAGUGAAGUGAAGGGAGAGAAGAUGCUAAACGCGGAGGAGAUAGGGAAGCAGGAAGGG